rnacentral:tRNA from 1 species
CCCCCCGUAGCUCAGGGGAUAGAGCAGACGGUUUCUACCCGUCGUGUCGGGAGUUCGAAUCUCUCCGGGGGGAC